GCUCCGGUGGCUUAUUGGUUAGAGCGUCCGCCUCGGAUGCGGGAGGUCGUGGGUUAGAUCCCCGGUCGAGUCG